UGGCAAACGGGUGCGUAACACGUAAGUGACCUAUCCUUCAGUGGGGGACAACCCCGCGAAAGCGGGGCUAAUACCGCAUAUGGUGCGGGGUAUAGACGCCCAGCACUAAAGGCCCGAGCAAUCGGGCCGCUGGAAGAGGGGCUUGCGGCCGAUUAGCUAGUUGGUGAGGUAACGGCCCACCAAGGCGACGAUCGGUAGCUGGUCUGAGAGGACGGCCAGCCACACUGGGACUGAGACACGGCCCAGACUCCUACGGGAGGCAGCAGCAAGGAAUAUUGCGCAAUGGGCGAAAGCCUGACGCAGCGACGCCGCGUGAGGGAUGAAGGCCUUCGGGUCGUAAACCUCUUUUACCAGGGACGAAUAAUGACGGUACCUGGGGAAUAAGCCUCGGCCAACUACGUGCCAGCAGCCGCGGUAAUACGUAGGAGGCGAGCGUUAUCCGGAUUUACUGGGCGUAAAGCGGGCGCGGGUGGCUGUUUAAGUCCGGGGUGAAAUCUCUUGGCUUAACUGAGAGGGGUCCUCGGAUACUGAAUGGCUUGAGGGCAGCAGAGGGAGGUGGAAUUCCCGGUGUAGCGGUGAAAUGCGCAGAUAUCGGGAGGAACACCAGUGGCGAAGGCGGCCUCCUGGGCUGUCCCUGACACUGAGGCCCAAAAGCGUGGGGAGCGAACCGGAUUAGAUACCCGGGUAGUCCACGCCCUAAACUAUGGACACUAGGUAUGGGGAGUAUCGACCCUUUCCGUGCCGAAGCUAACGCUUUAAGUGUCCCGCCUGGGUAGUACGGCCGCAAGGCUAAAACUCAAAGGAAUUGACGGGGGCCUGCACAAGCAGCGGAGCGUGUGGUUCAAUUCG
rnacentral:rRNA from 1 species